rnacentral:rRNA from 1 species
UUGAUUUUAAUUGUUUUUUGGCGGUGUAGCUCAGCUGGCUAGAGCGUACGGUUCAUACCCGUGAGGUCGGGGGUUCGAUCCCCUCCGCCGCUACCAUUGGACCUUUAGCUCAGUUGGUUAGAGCAGACGGCUCAUAACCGUCCGGUCGUAGGUUGAGCAUGUGGUUUAAUUCGAAGCAACGCGAAGAACCUUACCAGGUCUGGACAUCCUCUGACAAUCCUAGAGAUAGGACGUCCCCUUCGGGGGCAGAGUGACAGGUGGUGCAUGGUUGUCGUCAGCUCGUGUCGUGAGAUGUUGGGUUAAGUCCCGCAACGAGCGCAACCCUUGAUCUUAGUUGCCAGCAUUCAGUUGGGCACUCUAAGGUGACUGCCGGUGACAAACCGGAGGAAGGUGGGGAUGACGUCAAAUCAUCAUGCCCCUUAUGACCUGGGCUACACACGUGCUACAAUGGACAGAACAAAGGGCAGCGAAACCGCGAGGUUAAGCCAAUCCCACAAAUCUGUUCUCAGUUCGGAUCGCAGUCUGCAACUCGACUGCGUGAAGCUGGAAUCGCUAGUAAUCGCGGAUCAGCAUGCCGCGGUGAAUACGUUCCCGGGCCUUGUACACACCGCCCGUCACACCACGAGAGUUUGUAACACCCGAAGUCGGUGAGGUAACCUUUUAGGAGCCAGCCGCCGAAGGUGGGACAGAUGAUUGGGGUGAAGUCGUAACAAGGUAGCCGUAUCGGAAGGUGCGGCUGGAUCACCUCCUUUCUAA